GUUGAACCUCAAUUAAAUUGUUAAUAUUAAAUUGGUGAAAGUGAAGUGACAUACAGCUAAGUGUGGUGACAAGUGACAUAAGCAAGUGCUCUGCAUUUAACCCAUCCAAAGUGCACACACACACCGUGAACACACACACAGCAGUGAACACACACCCGGAGCAGUGGGUAUCAUUUAUGCUGCGGCGCCCGGGGAGCAGUUGGGGGUUCGGUGCCUUGCUCAAGAGCUCCUCAGUCGUGGUAUUGCCGGCCCGAGACUCAAACCCACAACCUUAGGGUUAGGAGUCAGACUCUGUAACCACUAGGCCACGACUUCCCAAAAAAUUGUCAAGGCUGACUGUAUUCCAAGUCAUCCUGGCGGGGUAUUGGGUAAAGUUUCCAACCAGCAAUGGCAAACAGGAAGUAGGAAUAACACUGUCCAACAGCGACACCCGCAGGGACCUCGGUAGUCUCGGUUCAUUCUCAUGUCUCUCUCAGUGUCAUUGAAGAACUGCAGACUGUAUAUACAGCAUCUCUGUCAUGUGUCUGUGACUCGUUCUUUACAUACGCACCUGUGUGUUCAGGCUGUGAGUUUUGCGAAGCAGCUGGAGCAGCUCGGGCAGACUCUUCACCGCACAUUUUCCAGUGACGUCUCAGAGGAAGUGAUGCGUAGUGUGAUCGGGUGCCUGCGACUGAUGGAGGACAUUGUGGCUGAGGUUCAGGCGUCCGUUCUGAAGAUGCUGCUGGACCGGUUUGUGUGCUGGCAGGAACUGUCAGAUGCCCUGAGAGAAAAGACUGCGCUCCUGAAUCGGGAGGCGGAGCUUAUGCUGAAAGUCACCGGCCAAUCAGUGCAGGAGCUGAGAGCUGAUGGACAGCUGGAGAAACAGACUCUCCGUGAUGUGGAGACUGCAGUUAAUGAAGCACUGGAGCAGAGCACUGACGGUACUGACACAUGACCAACAUCACCACUGUGCUCUGAAACCUAUUUCACCCCUGUGUGUGUGUGUGUGUGUGUGUGUGUAGAGAUCAGACGUCAGACUGAAGAGCUCGCCUUGGAUCGCUGUCAGAAAGCCUGUGUGAGGAGGAGGAAGAUGAUGAAGGCUCAGAGCUCUGAGUGGGGUCCUGUGUCAGACACGCAGACGGACGCUCGUCUCAUGAUGAAGGUGAGAAACAGCAUGGACUCAUCUGCUGGAAACACUGUCUGUCUCUCUCUCUCUCUGUCAAUUCAGUUCAAUUCAAAAUGUGCUGCCAAAGCAUAGUGUUUACACUGAAUCUAGAACAGAUAUAAUGCAACAAAAACAUGCAUGUAUAUACAUUUAAAAAGUAGAACAAAUAAAAUUUUAGAAUUCUACA
ensembl:lncRNA